rnacentral:rRNA from 1 species
AAUGAACGCUGGCGGCGUGCUUAACACAUGCAAGUCGUGCGCGAAGGUGGCUUCGGCCACCGGAGAGCGGCGGACGGGUGAGUAACACGUGGGUAAUCUGCCUAGGAGUGGGGAAUAACCUGGGGAAACUCGGGCUAAUACCGCAUACGUCGUCGGGACUGCGGUCCCGACAAGAAAGCUGGCCUCUGCUUGCAUGCUAGCGCUCCUAGAGGAGCCCGCGGCUGAUAGCUAGUUGGUGAGGUAAUGGCUCACCAAGGCGACGAUCAGUAGCCGGCCUGAGAGGGUGAACGGCCACACUGGGACUGAGACACGGCCCAGACUCCUACGGGAGGCAGCAGUGGGGAAUAUUGGACAAU